UCAAUUGUUACAGGACUGUAUAGGUGCCAUAGAUGGAACACACAUCGAAGCUUGGGUGCCUACCACACAAGAAACAUCAUAUCGUGGAAGGAAGGCUACCAAAACUCAAAAUGUGAUGGCAGCAUGUUCAUUUGACAUGAAAUUCACAUUUGUUUAUCCUGGUUGGGAAGGUAGUGCCCAUGAUUCACGGGUGUUCUUAACUGCGGUUACAAAUCCUAAUCGUAACUUUCCGCACCCACUGAUCAGUAAGUACUACACUUGAAUGUUAUUUUGUUAUAGUAGAUUAUUGUACGCGCAUGUAUGUCUCACUAAAUUUACUUAUGUUUAGACAAAUAUUAUGUGGUGGAUUCUGGAUACACCAACAUGCUUGGGUACCUAGCUCCAUAUCGUGGUGAAAGGUAUCAUUUGAAUCAAUACAAUGGUCCCAAUCCUGUCUAUAACUCACAUAGGGAGUUGUUCAAUCAUAGACACUCGUCGUUAAGAAAUGUUAUUGAAAGAUGUUUUGGGGUAUUGAAGAGACGAUUCUUGAGCCUUAAAAGUAUGCCCUCGUACAAGCCAGUGAGGCAACCUUCAAUUGUGACAGCUUGUUGUGUUGUUCACAACUGGAUCAUAAUUCAUCGUCAAAGAGACUUGUAUUUUGAUUCUUCGGAUGAUGAUGACGAUGAGGAAGAGGAUGGUGGAGAUAUUGAAGUCGUAAACAUGUCCCGUGGCAGUUUACAGCAAAUGGCCAAUAGGCGUGAUAAAAUUGCAACUCAAUUAUGGAAUGCACACAAUUGGUAGGCAUGGCUGGAAAAAGUUUCUAUUGUGUUGUUUUUAUUUGAAAAGUCCCUGGAAGAAGUUCCUAUGAUGCAUGGAAGGUGUAUGUGGAGCAUCAGUCCCUUUGCUCUUAAAUGUGCAAUCAAACAUGGAUAGUCGUGGUGGUUCAAAUAAGUGCAUUAACAUUGCUUGUUUCUCACCUGGAGGAGUAAUGGCAUUUCUAAUUUAGUAGGUUGUCAUAUUUUUUUUUUCCAACCACUUUCGUUCGGAGCAUGUAAUGGUACUAAUAUUUGCUGGUGUUGGAGUGUUUAGGAAUGGUUUUGUUAUAGUAAUGUUGUAAUAGCUUUAAACUCCGAAUUUAAUUUUGCUUAUGUUGAACCGUUGGGACUAUGGAAUUAAUUUGCUUUCUUUAUGCAAUGAAUAUGUAGCUGAUCUUAUUUGAUAUUUGGGCAUUCGUAUGUGGGAUGCCAAG